GAAGUUCACUGGUAGAACAUCUGAUUUGCAUGCAGAAGGCCUAGGUUCCAUCUCUGGCAUCUCCA